GGGAGAAGGGCCUUGGUCAGGGAGGUGACCAAGGACCCAAUAGUCACUCCAGAGUUCCUCUGUGGAUAUGAGAGAAUCUUCCAGAAGGACAACCAACUCUGUAGCACUCUACCAAUCAGGCCUUUAUGGUAGACUAGCCAGACGGAAGCCACUCCUCAGUAAAAGGCACAUGACAGCCAGCUUGGAGUUUUCUCAGACCAUGAGGUGAAGGUUCACCUUCCAACAAGAUUCUCUGGUCUGAUGAAAUCAAGAUUGAAAUCUUUGGCCUGAAUGCCAUGUGUUACGACUGGAGGAAACCUGGCACCAUCCCUAGGGUGGAGCAUGGUGGAGGCAGCAUCAUGCUGAGGGGGAUGUUUUUCAGCGGCAGGGACUGGGAGACUUGUCAGGCUUGAGGGAAGGAUGAACGGAGCAAGUACAGAGAGACGCUUGAUGAAAACCUGCUCCAGAGCACUCAGAACUUCAGACUUUGGCGAAGGUUCACCUUCCAACAGGACAACGACGCUAAGCACACAGCCAAGACAUCGCAGGAGUGGCUUCUGGACAAGUCUCUGAAUGUCCUUGAGUGGCCCAGUCAGAGCCCGAACAUCUCUGGAGAGACCUGAAAAUAGAUGUGUAGCGAUGCUCCCCAUCCAUCCUGAAAGAGCAGAGAUGAAUGAGAGAAACUCCCCAAAUACAGGUGCAGAGGGAAAGAGAAUUCUCCAGGACCACUGUCUCCAUGGGCUUAGGUUGCUUUCCUGGCACUGAGAGGCCUGCAUUGACGAAGGAGACAGAGGGGGAGACAGAGGGGGACGCCAGGCCCAAUAAAUCACUGUGAACGUGUAAAUGCCACUGAGACACAUUCCGCCACAGAACAGGGGGGCCAAACUGCUACAAGUUCCUUUCUCUUUCUGUUGCUGUUGUUUUAAGGACACUCCCUCCCACACACACAAUCCAUGCUUGUUUUCUUUUCCUCCUUAUAUCCCUCUUUUAUUCGCUUGCUUCAGCUCACUCUCUCUCUCCCAUCAACCCCCCUCUCUCCCUCUCUUUUCUCUUCAUCCCUCAGCUCCCGCAAGAAGCUAAUAGCUUAAUGCGAGGAAGAAUGUUCAGGGUUUCCUGUGAAUUCCUCCAUUAGUCAUUGAAAUGACCUUGCUGUUUCUCCCCUUUCCCUUCCUUGUCACAUACACUGUACGCUCUGGAGCAACCAGUGCAAAGAGAUAGAGAGAGAGAGAGAGGCAGUGAGAAGACAGAGGAGAAAAGAUGAGAGGAGAGGUGGAAGAGAGGAAGCUCUACUGUAAAUAAGAAGCAGAGGUGAGGGGUGAGGGGUCAUGUAGAAACAGAGCCCCACUACUUAUCCCCUGACACUGACCGGUUAACUGGGAUGGUGGGGGGGUUGUGUUGCUUGUAACUUUCUACACAAAUAAGCAGGGUAAUUAUUUGCUUGCUCAGUACAGUAACCCCAUAUAACUGUGUCAAUAAAGCUUAUUUGAAUUGAUUAGAGAGAGGGACACAACGAAAGAGGCCAUUAUUUAAGUGCAGUUGCAACAAUUACUGACAUUAACAUUGUUAUCUCAGGCGACUGGGCCUAGUGUGGUGUGUAGGCUACAAUUAGGCUGUGUUUACAAAGGCUCCCCAAUUCAGAAUUAUUACUAUUUUUCUCCCACUAAUUGGUCUAAUUGGUCUUUUGACCAAUCACAUCAGAUAUUUUCACACCAGCUGAUCUGAUUGGUCAAUAGACCAAUUGGGAAAAGAAUAUCAGAAUUGGGCUUUCUGUGUAAACACAGCCUUAGUUGCUUUGGAAGGC
ensembl:lncRNA